GAAGCCGACCUCCCGGAAGGGAACAGUGACAGCGCGUUCUGCUUCCGGGUCGCGUGCCCAUGGCCGCCCGGAAGCGGCGACGGCAGGACGCGGCGGCCCCGCUUCCCAGUCUCUAGCCCGCGUCCCACGGGCGGCGCGCACGCAGCCUGUCAGCGUGAGAGAGUCCUUGUUCUCUGAGAGGAAAUGAUAUGAAAGCACCUCAUGUGUCUUGGAGCUGCGAUCUUUGUGUCUGAUUUACUCGUGCAUCCAGUUUGGCAGCCUUCUGUACGGUCUGCCAUGGCAACAGAUUCGACUAUCCCAAUUUGGCAGAACAAACCUUGCGGCUCAUCACGCAGCGUAGUCAGGAGGAUUGGGACAAACCUGCCCUUAAAACCGUGUCCCAGGGCAUCCUUUGAGGUUCUGCCAAAUGUCUCUGAUCUGUACUUAAAUGACAUACCUCCGGUCCCUACUCUGGCAGACAUUGCGUGGAUAGCAGCAGAUGAUGAAGAAACAUAUGCUAGAGUCAGGAGCGACACUCGGCCACUAAAACACAAGUGGAAGCCCAGCCCCUUCACGGUUAUCCAGCGAAACGCCUCGGUCCCCAACUUGAGGAAGCAGGAGGAGAAGCUGCUUGCCUUGAAGAAACCUGGUUUACCUGCCCUGAGUCGGACUACGGAGCUUCAGGAGGAGCUGAGUCACCUGCGGAGCCAAAUAGCUAAAAUUGUAGCUGGUGAUUCAGCAUCUGCUUCAUUAACGCCGGAUCUAUUAUCUCCAGAAAGUUCAAAUGUCUCUUCUCCCUUACCUUGUUUUGGAUCCUCUUUCCAAUCUACAACUUCCUUUGUCAUUAGUGACAUCACAGAGGAGGUGGCAGAACUAGACACUCCCGAGUUCCCCUCGGUGUCCAUGCUUUGUUCUGCAACCUCUCUCGAGUAUUGCAAGCCGGAGCCAAAGGAUCCCGACGAGGAGGAUUCCAUCUCUCUGUCGAAGGCCAGCAGUUUUGCAGACAUGAUGGGCAUUCUCAAAGACAUCCAUCGCAUGAAGCAGAACAAAGAGUUGAAUCGGUGUUAAAACACAGCCCCGGAAGCUGCAGAAAUGAGUAUGAGACACGCUUGCAGAAGUGCAUGUGUCAACGCAUAUCAAAAUAGAGCCCUCUUAAUGUCUGUGAUGCCCUUUGGAAGGGAAUUGUCUGUGUAGUGUGCCUGCUGAUCCUUUCAUUCAGUGUGUGGUUAAAAGCAUGUAGCGUGCGGAUCUGCUUUGAAUGAACCGAACUUUACUGAAGGAGGAAGAUCCAGCUAUUCUCAUUUCAGAAGCGUUGAGGAGAAAGUUUGCUUUAAAGGAUGAAGAUAUAGCUAUGAAAGAGAAGUGACACCACGCUCUAAUUUAACUCCGUAAGCAACAUAUAUCGUGCUCCUGAGAUUUCUCUCCACAGUAGCUGCCUUCCUAAGGAUCAAACUUUUUUGCCUCUUUAAUUAGGAAUUAUAUCUGCACUGGACACUUAUUUGAGAAAGAAACUUUGGAUUUGCAGUGUUUCCACGUAUCUUAAUAUAUAAAAACUUUUUAAGAAAAUGGAAAUUCUUUUCCACCCUAUUUUGAACCGAAGCAUUUUACUGGUGAGGUUCUUCUAACGAGUGAUAUGUGUGUGGCUAGGUGAAGUUUUCCCUCCUCCGUGUGUCUUCCUCUGUGAGUUUAGAUUCAAAUUAAUUAUUCAAGUUAACUAAACUCAUGACAUCCUUGUUGUGGGGUAAUUAGCUACCCAUUUCAGAUAUAAUUGGACAUCAAGCUCCUACUACUUUCCCAGAGAGCCUGGAGCAAGGCUGUCACUGAGAGUAAAUUGCUGCUUCCUUCCUCAUCCUCAGCUCUUUAGGAAGUUUUCCUUUGGCCUGAGCUGGUUAGGAGCUUGUGUCGUUCUCCCCAGAAAAGGAUUCCCUUGCCUAAGUCUUCUUCCAAUUAUUUUCCAGUCCCAAAUGGGACGGGAAGAGUUGAUGUGAAUUUUUGGACUCUUUAAUAAGCUUAAAAAACGUGAGGUUGGUGUCAGCAGGCCAGCGACUAAAAUAUUUUUGUAAUGUUUUAAAGUUCAAGUUGUCCCCGGAGAUCCACGAUAGCAGGCCCACGGCCCGUCCCAAGUCGGCUUCCGUGUUUCACGAACGUGAUCUUUCUAGUCAGAUGAAAUGUAUUUUAUUAACGCAAAUUUCAGCAAGGAUAUAGUUUGAAUACAAUGGCCGGAGCCCACCAGAGCGAGGCGAUUAACACCGCAGGGAACUUGAGGGAGGGGAAAGGGAAGGAGGCUGUUCAAAGGAAGCGGUGAUUCUCACUGGUUGAGAUGUUUUAUUUUGGGUAAAGAUGGUUGUCUGCAACUGUUCCUCACGGCUGUAUUCAGGGUGUGCGAUGUUUCCUUUGUAUAAAUGGAGCCCUAUGCUUGGUCCUCCAAUGAGCCUCGCAGGUGUCCUUAAUGUCCUCAACUUGAGAGCCGGGGGAUCCCUUCUGCCGGCGCUUGCGGCGGGUUCGACACGUCGGUCGCGGAAAGGCCUAGCCCAAAUCAGGCAAUUCCCAGAAGAACGCAUCCUUUUCCGACUGUUGCGGAAGAAGUGACUGGCUCAGCUCGGACAGAACAGCUGAGGGGCGAUGCUGCGCCUGGUUCCUGGAGCGCUCUUCGCGUGCAUGUCGUGGAGGCCUCCACAAGCUGCUCAGUAUCAUUGUCCCGAUGCUAAUGCAGGGGGCUGGGCCCGAUGAUCUGCCGAGGUCCCAUCCAGCCUUGCAAUCUGAACGAAUUCCUGUUAUAGAGGUGAGGAAGCUGAGGCAGAGGUGAAGCAACCUGCUGAAAGUUACCUAACAGGCCAGGAGCUGAACUGGGCAUAUACCCCAGAUUAUCGGUCCCAAUCCAGGACUCUAUCCUUCAGUGCACACUAUCCCCCACAGAGCUUGGCUCCUGCCUGUCAGCAGGGUAAGCUCCUGCCUGGGGCUGGGUUCUGACAUGCCCUUUGUGUGCCUUCCUCUCUUGGCUCCAUUGCCUAAAGCGCAGUCAAAGUAUGCAGGCUACCUGGGCUAAGGUUUAGGGGAUCUGACUUGAAAGUGGAGUAGCUUCCUGUAUAGCUCUGUCUGGGCUUCCUCCAGAACAAAGGUGUCCACAGAAAGGUGUCAGGAAUGAUCCCGUGUCUAGAUACACGCUUAGUAUUGCCUGGAGGGCCAAGAAUCUCUAGUUUAGCAGCAGGCCCUACCAUUUAAAGUGACCAAAAAUAAUUCACUGAGCAGCACUGCAUUCAAAGCAGAGGCAAGGAGCUCCACUCCCUCUGCCCGCUCUCCUUGACGCACCUGGGCCCAAAGGCUCUACCGUGACCCUCCUCCAGAGUUCUCACGGAGCCUAGCUGACCGUGGACCAGACACUUUUGACUGCAGUGAGAGUCUGGCUAACAGCCCAGCGGCGUGGUAUCUCGGGACCUACCGAGGCAUGAGCAGUAGGAGUGACUUCUGCUUGGGCAGGCUACUGGGGUGAACUGGUCUCUCCAGCAGCACCGGCUUUUCUGCAUAGAAGUCGAGAGUGCCAACAAUGGCCGUUAGCAGAACACGUAGGCCUCUCACCCGGGUGGUUUGCGCAAAGGUGUGAUGUUAUUCCCCAGUGAUGGCUCAGCCAGGGAGGAAGCAUGAUCUGUUAUCAAACCUCCACCUGUAGGGCCAGCCAGAAAGCUCCCAUCCCACUGCCCCCCUUACCAGGGAGCCCGCAGGAGCAGCAAUCCCUGCAUUGAGGUUUGGCAUGAGUAACCGUGCUGGUGGGGCUGUCAUACCAUGACAUGGAUGGCAACCAGCCCUGAAGACCUUGGAGCCCCCCCUCCCGUCACAGCCACUUGGAGGGCAGCUUUGGGUGUUUUAACUACCUUUUGAGUCCUGCUAAUGCUAAUGAAGGCAUGGGUCUGGGAGGAGGUCUGCAGGAGCUAGUAGCAGCUGGGCACCUCACAGAUCUUCAGUGCCUUUUUAUAGCAAAUGUGCUUCCCUGUGACUCAGAAUACCAUGCCCUGGCUGAGAGCGAUUGUACUGCAUGAUCUAGUUCACCGAGCUGUCCGAGGGCAGCCGGAGCCACCUAACAAGGAAGCUGCAAACUCCCGGCCCAGAUCAGCUUCCCCACGCCAGGCAUCAGGCCCCAGCUGCAUUAAUCCCAAAGCAAGGGGUGGUUGUCCAUAGCUUGACUGUUUAAAGCCAAGUCUCUCAAUCUUGCCAAUUCCUGCAGUCAGUGACGUCUAGCAGCAUGCUCCAGUCACAGAAACACGGCAUUAAAGCUGGGGGCUGGACCCGAACCCCGCAGGGCAGCUGGUGUCUGAAACCACCGCACAGCGACGUGCUGAGAGAGGUGAGCUCGGCAGCAAGGCUCUGCAGGGUUGUGGAAAUGAUUGUGCUUUUGCUAGUGAAACCUUUCACUGCUGCUUCCAGGAUGCUGCCACACUGCCGAAUGCAAGCAGUACCAGGGCACCGGCAGCGGGUGAAGUCAAUAGGAAGUGUCACAGAUCGCUCCCACCCACACUACAGAGAGCCGGUCCCUGCACGCCGGCCUUGCCAGGAAUGCGGAUGGUCGCUCCCUGCAAAGCCGAGUCGCUCAGCUGCGGGAGGACGGGGCCUGUGUAGGGCAUGUUGCAAGAAAGGAUUACGACAGGCCUGGAUAAAAACACUCUCUUUAUUUGCACAAAACUCUCCUCGUUAAUCCCAGCUCCUGCUUGCUGCACCAUGUGCACGCUGGCGUACUCCUUGCAUCCUUCUUGAAGACAGCAACGCACGGUGCAGACAGCGGAGGGCUUCUCCUGUUCAUUAAACAAUACCAGACCUCCCUGUGCGGCCUGUUCCUAGUUGCGGAUCGGAUGUCUAAUCACUCUGUUCCCUUCCGAGUCCUCUGUGAAGAGCCAGUCCUGGGAUGAGUCUGGGCCCGGGGAGGCCUCCCGUGCCGCUGGGGCACGGGCUCGGGCGCCGUCCCU